CUGAGCGCAAUGGGAUCCCCAUUGGUCCACAGGCUGCAUCAAGCUGGCUCUAUGUUUAUCCUAGAGGACUUCGGGAUCUUUUGCUUUAUGUCAAGGAGAAGUACCAUAAUCCGCUAAUCUAUAUUACCGAGAACGGAAUUGAUGAGUCCAAUAACGCCACCUUGUCUCUUGAGGAAGCCCUCAUCGACAAACCCAGAAUUGAAUAUUACUAUGGCCAUCUUUUUUAUCUUCGUAGGGCUAUCAUG